rnacentral:rRNA from 1 species
UACGAAGGGGGCUAGCGUUGCUCGGAAUGACUGGGCGUAAAGGGCGCGUAGGCGGUUUGUACAGUCAGGUGUGAAAUUCCCGGGCUCAACCUGGGGGCUGCACUUGAUACGUAUGGACUUGAGUGAGGAAGAGGGUCGUGGAAUUCCCAGUGUAGAGGUGAAAUUCGUAGAUAUUGGGAAGAACACCGGUGGCGAAGGCGGCGACCUGGUCCUUGACUGACGCUGAGGCG